rnacentral:rRNA from 1 species
AGUGAACGCUGGCGGUAGGCCUAACACAUGCAAGUCGAACGGCAGCACAGUAAGAGCUUGCUCUUACGGGUGGCGAGUGGCGGACGGGUGAGGAAUACAUCGGAAUCUACCUUUUCGUGGGGGAUAACGUAGGGAAACUUACGCUAAUACCGCAUACGACCUACGGGUGAAAGCAGGGGAUCUUCGGACCUUGCGCGAUUGAAUGAGCCGAUGUCGGAUUAGCUAGUUGGCGGGGUAAAGGCCCACCAAGGCGACGAUCCGUAGCUGGUCUGAGAGGAUGAUCAGCCACACUGGAACUGAGACACGGUCCAGACCCCUACGGGAGGCAGCAGUGGGGAAUAUUGGACAAUGGGCGCAAGCCUGAUCCAGCCAUACCGCGUGGGUGAAGAAGGCCUUCGGGUUGUAAAGCCCUUUUGUUGGGAAAGAAAAGCAGCAGGUUAAUACCCCGCUGUUCUGACGGUACCCAAAGAAUAAGCACCGGCUAACUUCGUG